rnacentral:rRNA from 2 species
UAAACGACUCUCGGCAACGGAUAUCUCGGCUCACGCAUCGAUGAAGAACGUAGCAAAAUGCGAUACUUGGUGUGAAUUGCAGAAUCCCGUGAACCAUCGAGUUUUUGAACGCAAGUUGCGCCCGAAGCCUUCUGGCCGAGGGCACGUCUGCCUGGGCGUCACGCA